rnacentral:rRNA from 1 species
AAAAUCAUUCCCCUAGUAAUGGCGAAUGAAGAGGGAAAAGCCCAAAUUUGUAAUCUGGCUCUUUCAGAGUCCGAGUUGUAAUUUUAAGAACUGAUUUCCAGUGGUGGGCCAUGUAUAAGUCUGGUGAAAAGCAGCAUCAUAGAAGGUGAUAAUCCUGUACAUGAUAUGGACUAACCAUGCAAUACGAUGCAUUCCCCUAGAAUCGAGUUGUUUGGGAAAGCAGCUCAAAGUGGGGGGGAAAUUCCAUCUAAGGUUAAAUAUUGAUGAGAGACCGAUAGCAAACAAGUCCCGUGAGGGAAAGAUGAAAAGAACUUUGGAAAGGGAGUUAACCAUACGUGAAAUUGUUUAAAAGGAAACAAUUGAAGUUAGACUGGUUAUUAUUAAUUCAACCUUUUCAAGGGAGUAUUCUAAUGAUUAACAGACCAACAUCAAUUUUUGAGUGUUGGAGAAGGGUUUAAGGAAAUGGAGCAGUCUCUGACUGUGUUAUAAUCCUGAGCUUUGAUACAAUGGUUAAGAUUGAGGAAUGCAAUAAGCCUCUCUUUUGGGGUGGAACAAAUUAUUGUUCCUCAUACUGAGGAUGUUGGCGCUAUAGCUUAUGUGACGUGUCGUGAACACACACA